UUGUGAUGAUACAAAUUCUUCCUCCAGGCUGUGACUUUGUGUCUCUACCAUGCUUGCUCUUUCUAUAAACAAGGUUUCAGAGUCUUUAUGAGGUUCUGCUGAUCCAUGGCUCCACUGCUUCUCAACUUCAGAGGAAACAAUGAAGCUAGAGACAUGAAGGCAGAGCUGCAAGGCGGGAAAGUAGUUGAAGAUUUUGUUCAGUUCAUGAAUUGAGAUAAAUUAUCAUGGCUUAUCUGGUCUUGAAAUUAAGAUGAAAUGUCAAAUUUACCUUGA